rnacentral:rRNA from 1 species
GCAAGUCGUGCGAGAAAGUAUCUUCGGAUAUGAGUAGAGCGGCGGACGGGUGAGUAACGCGUAGGAAUCUACCUAGUAGAAGGGGAUAGCCCGGGGAAACUCGGAUUAAUACCGUAUACCUCCUUUGGGAGAAAGAAGGCCUCUCUUUGAAGCUUUCGCUACUAGAUGAGCCUGCGUAAGAUUAGCUUGUUGGUGAGGUAAAGGCUCACCAAGGCGACGAUCUUUAGCGGGUCUGAGAGGACGAUCCGCCACAUUGGGACUGAGACACGGCCCAGACUCCUACGGGAGGCAGCAGUGGGGAAUAUUGGACAAUGGGCGCAAGCCUGAUCCAGCCAUACCGCGUGUGUGAAGAAGGCCCUAGGGUUGUAAAGCACUUUAAGUUGGGAAGAAAAGUUAUUGGUUAAUACCCAAUGACCGUGACAUUACCUUCAGAAUAAGGACCGGCUAAUUCCGUGCCAGCAGCCGCGGUAAUACGGAAGGUCCAAGCGUUAAUCGGAAUUACUGGGCGUAAAGCGCGCGUAGGUGGUUUAUUAAGUUGGAUGUGAAAUCCCCGGGCUCAACCUGGGAACUGCAUCCAAAACUGAUUCACUAGAGUACGAUAGAGGGAGGUAGAAUUCACAGUGUAGCGGUGGAAUGCGUAGAUAUUGUGAAGAAUACCAAUGGCGAAGGCAGCCUCCUGGAUCUGUACUGACACUAAGGUGCGAAAGCGUGGGUAGCGAACAGGAUUAGAUACCCCGGUAGUCCACGCCGUAAACGAUGUCAACUAGCUGUUGGGAAACUAUGUUUUUCAGUGGCGCAGCUAACGUAGUAAGUUGACCGCCUGGGGAGUACGGCCGCAAGGC